UACGAAGGGGGCUAGCGUUGCUCGGAAUCACUGGGCGUAAAGCGCACGUAGGCGGAUUCUUAAGUUAGGGGUGAAAUCCUGGAGCUCAACUCCAGAACUGCCUUUGAUACUGAAGAUCUUGAGUCCGGGAGAGGUGAGUGGAACUGCGAGUGUAGAGGUGAAAUUCGUAGAUAUUCGCAAGAACACCAGUGGCGAAGGCGGCUCACUGGCCCGGUACUGACGCUGAGGCACGAAAGCGUGGGGAGCAAACAGG
rnacentral:rRNA from 1 species